rnacentral:tRNA from 1 species
CAAAGUGUAGCUUAAAUUAAAGCAUCUAGUUUACACCUAGAAGAUUUCAUACCAAAAUGACCGCUUUG